ACUUCAUUUCGCAUAAUGCAUUUAAGGAACUACAGGUGUGAUGUGUGAUUUCAUUAAACGUAUCACAGCCGUAGUUGCCUUACUGUAUUUGUGAAAUCUCAA
rnacentral:pre_miRNA from 1 species